rnacentral:piRNA from 2 species
UGGAUGAUGAUGAUGCAGAGGUUCUACUC